GACAGAGGAUGCAAGCGUUAUCCGGAAUGAUUGGGCGUAAAGCGUCUGUAGGUGGCUUUUUAAGUCCGCCGUCAAAUCCCAGGGCUCAACCCUGGACAGGCGGUGGAAACUACCAAGCUGGAGUACGGUAGGGGCAGAGGGAAUUUCCGGUGGAGCGGUGAAAUGCGUAGAGAUCGGGAGGAACACCUGUGGCGAAGGCGGCCCCCUGGUUGGAUACUGACGCUGAUACGCGAAAGCGUGGGGAGCAAACAGG
rnacentral:rRNA from 1 species